CAAUGUGUUGUACAUAGUAACCCUUUGAAAACAGUUUUGUACUCACUCAAAAAACAUUUCUUUAUGGAGGAUCAAAGUUCAUGAUCAAAUGAACUGAACUACUUGUUCUUGGCAGGGAACAGCUCCCUCAGAGGCCCAACCAGGAUGAGGCAGAGCCUUUCAAGAGAGAUAAAGGAAAACAGCCAGCCCCCGUGGGUUCAUCUUUACAGCAUCUGAAACUAGGACAAGAGCCAAAUUUUCCAAAAUGCCAGAAGGGGUAACAAAGAAGUAACCAGUUGGAAGCUGAGGACUGGCAAAGUUCAAGACAAAAAUGAAGAAGCUGUGAUAAAGUCCCUCAAGCUUCAUGUGGCUGUACCUCCAGAGGCACCUGAGGGUUCCUACACUCUGAGAGGAUCAAGAAGAACAGAUGUACAAUCCACUUACUUUUGAGAUGAUAUUCAUCUAAUGCUGACCCUCUUGUCUAUUUGGGUAUCACCCCAUAAACUGAGCGGCCUGGUGGGAUGAAGGGCACAGGAUAACUGAGUGAGUUUCUACACAAAUCAAUUCAUUCAAUUCUUUGCUCAAACAUGACCCUCCUCAUCAGUGGCUUCCUUAUUUAACAUAGCCAGUUACUCUUUAUUCUCUCAUUCUGUUUGGUUUUAUUCAUAGCAUUUGUUUAUCACUAUUCCAAUUUAUACGAGUUGUUAAUUUGCCAAAUAUUAACCAGAAUGUAAGUUUGAUGAGGAAAGAAGCCUUUCUCAUUUUCACCUGUGUGUCCAUUGCCUAGAAGAAUAUCUGGUGCAUGGCAGGCACUCAGUUUCUAUUGAAUGAAUUAUGAGUGAAUGAAUGAAUGAUCUUU
rnacentral:lncRNA from 1 species